rfam:Luteibacter sp. 22Crub2.1 genome assembly, contig: H037DRAFT_scaffold00016.16
GGGUCGUUAGCUCAGUUGGUAGAGCAGCGGACUUUUAAUCCGUAGGUCGCCGGUUCGAAUCCGGCACGACCCA